rnacentral:rRNA from 1 species
GUGGCGAACGGGUGAGUAACGCGUAAAUAACUUGCCUUGGAGAUUGGGACAACAUUGGGAAACCAGUGCUAAUACCAAAUAAUGCAGCGGGCCCUUCGGGGCAUAGUUGUUAAAGUAGGCUUCGGCUUACACUUCAAGAUAGAUUUGCGUCCGAUUAGUUAGUUGGUAGGGUAAUAGCCUACCAAGACCGAGAUCGGUAGCUGGUCUGAGAGGAUGAUCAGCCACACUGGAAUUGAGAUACGGUCCAGACUCCUACGGGAGGCAGCAGUGAGGAAUUUUGCACAAUGGGCGAAAGCCUGAUGCAGCAACACCGCGUGAUUGAUGAAGUUUUUAGGAAUGUAAAAAUCUGUCGUAAGGGAAGAAAUGUUUCGGAUGUUAAUACCAUCUGUUACUGACGGUACCUUACAAGAAAGGACCGGCUAACUUCGUGCCAGCAGCCGCGGUAAUACGAGGGGUCCUAGCGUUGUCCGGAUUUACUGGGCGUAAAGGGUACGUAGGCGUUUUAAUAAGUUGUAUGUUAAAUAUCUUAGCUUAACUAAGAAGGUGCAUACAAAACUGUUAAGAUAGAGUUUGAGAGAGGAACGCAGAAUUCAUGGUGGAGCGGUGACAUGCGUAGAUAUCAUGAGGAAAGUCAAAUGCGAAGGCAGCCUUCUGGCUCAAAACUGACGCUGAGGUACGAAAGCGUGGGGAGCGAACAGGAUUAGAUACCCUGGUAGUCCACGCCGUAAACGAUGAGUAUUUGGUGCUGGGGGAUUCGACCCUUUCAGUGCCGUAGCUAACGCGAUAAAUA